UUCAGGCUCUGUUGCUUUGAGGGGACCCCAGGAUCUCCAGGGGAGAGCAAAGGCUGCAGCUACCAACGGAAAAUGCCAGUAUUUGGAAGAAGGAAGGAGCAGUUUGCUAAACCCUGGUGCUUGAGUGAGGAGUCAUUCUGUUCCUGUGCCUUACUCACCUUUUCAACAAUGGAAGAACCCAGGCAGCACUUUCUGGAAAUGCAUCUUGAAGUAGACUGAAAUUUGUCCUCUGUGGCUCUGACCCUGGCUCCCAGGCUAGGCA
rnacentral:lncRNA from 1 species